rnacentral:rRNA from 1 species
AGAUUAAGUUAUUAAGGGCGCACGGUGGAUGCCUUGGCACUAGAAGCCGAUGAAGGACGUUACUAACGACGAUAUGCUUUGGGUAGCUGUAAGUAAGCGUUGAUCCAGAGAUUUCCGAAUGGGGGAACCCAGCAUGAGUUAUGUC